rnacentral:misc_RNA from 1 species
GAUGAAGAACGCAGCGAAAUGGGAUACGUAAUGUGAAUUGCAGAAUUCAGUGAAUCAUCGAGUCUUUGAACGCACAUUGCGCCCCCUGGUAUUCCGGGGGGCAUGCCUGUCCGAGCGUCAUUGCUGCCCUCAAGCACGGCUUGUGUGUUGGGCCUCCGUCCUCCUCCCGGGGGACGGGCCCGAAAGGCAGCGGCGGCACCGCGUCCGGUCCUCGAGCGUAUGGGGCUUCGUCACCCGCUCUUGUAGGCCCGGCCGGCGCUUGCCGACACAUCAAUCUUUUUUCCAGGUUGACCUCGGAUCAGGCAGGGAUACCCGCUGAACUUAAGCAUAUCAAUAAGCGGAGGA